rnacentral:rRNA from 1 species
AUCCAGACUCCUACGGGAGGCAGCAGUGGGGGAUAUUGCACAAUGGGGGAAACCCUGAUGCAGCGACGCCGCGUGUGGGAAGACGGUCCUCUGGAUUGUAAACCACUGUCCCCAGGGACGAAAAUGACGGUACCUAGGGAGGAAGCUCCGGCUAACUACGUGCCAGCAGCCGCGGUAAUACGUAGGGAGCGAGCGUUGUCCGGAAUUACUGGGUGUAAAGGGAGCGUAGGCGGGGAUGCAAGUUGGGUGUUAAAUCUACCGGCUCAACUGGUAGUCGCACUCAAAACUGCAGCUCUUGAGUGAAGUAGAGGCAGGCGGAAUUCCUAGUGUAGCGGUGAAAUGCGUAGAUAUUAGGAGGAACACCAGUGGCGAAGGCGGCCUGCUGGGCUUUUACUGACGCUGAGGCUCGAAAGUGUGGGGAGCAAACAGGAUUAGAUACCCUAGUACAG